UCGUGUUAGGUUUAGCUUUCGAAAAGUAAUUUUUCUGACCGAUCGUCCCAAGGGCAAGUGACAAAGGAUUUGAUGAUUGGUACUCGAGAUUCCAAAAUCGAAUCCUAGUUGACUCACAUUUUCAGCUAAAUUUAUUUCUAAAUUAAAUAAACAAAACAGAUAGUGUGCUACCUAUCUCUAAAAAUAAAAUAAUUUUUCUGCCAACAGAGCAUUUGGCAAUACCUAUUUCAAAUCUAACUCCGAUUUUCCGAAUCAAUUUUUCAAUUUUAGAAGCUCAAAAUCAGAAGUAGCUAAACUUUUCUACUUAAAAUCUAAUUUUAAUUUUGGAUUCAAAUUUUAAAAUUUAAUUUUAAUUUUCAAUUCAAUUAUUAAAUUUAACUACAGAUUUAAAAUUUAAAAUUUAAAGUUUAAACUAUUAAAUCUCAAUUUUUAAGUUUUAAAAAUUAAAUUUCAAAAUUUUAAAUUUUAAAUUUAGAU
rnacentral:lncRNA from 1 species